rnacentral:rRNA from 1 species
GUUGCCAGCGGUUAGGCCGGGAACUCAAAGGAGACUGCCAGUGAUAAACUGGAGGAAGGUGGGGAUGACGUCAAGUCAUCAUGGCCCUUACGAGUAGGGCUACACACGUGCUACAAUGGCGCAUACAAAGAGAAGCGACCUCGCGAGAGCAAGCGGACCUCAUAAAGUGCGUCGUAGUCCGGAUUGGAGUCUGCAACUCGACUCCAUGAAGUCGGAAUCGCUAGUAAUCGUAGAUCAGAAUGCUACGGUGAAUACGUUCCCGGGCCUUGUACACACCGCCCGUCACACCAUGGGAGUGGGUUGCAAAAGAAGUAGGUAGCUUAACCUUCGGGAGGGCGCUUACCACUUUGUGAUUCAUGACUGGGGUGAAGUCGUAACAAGGUAACCGUAGGGGAACCUGCGGUUGGAUCAC